CCUACGGGAGGCAGCAGUGAGGAAUAUUGGUCAAUGGGCGAGAGCCUGAACCAGCCAAGUCGCGUGAAGGAUGACGGCCCUACGGGUUGUAAACUUCUUUUGUCAGGGAGCAAUUGGGUCCACGCGUGGGCUUAGCGAGAGUACCUGAAGAAAAAGCAUCGGCUAACUCCGUGCCAGCAGCCGCGGUAAUACGGAGUAUGCGAGCGUUAUCCGGAUUUAUGGGGUUUAAAGGGUGCGUAGGCGGAAUAUCAAGUCAGCGGUAAAAAUUCGGGGCUCAACCCCGUCGUGCCGUUGAAACUGAUGUUCUUGAGUGGGAGAGAAGUAUGCGGAAUGCGUGGUGUAGCGGUGAAAUGCAUAGAUAUCACGCAGAACUCCGAUUGCGAAGGCAGCAUACCGGCGCCCAACUGACGCUGAAGCACGAAAGCGUGGGUAUCGAACAGGAUUAGAUACCCCUGUAGUC
rnacentral:rRNA from 1 species